UCAGGACACUCUCAAAUUUCAUGAUGGCAAAGAAGGGGACCUGUGGGGAAAAUAGCAUAGACUAAAACAUUGUUUUUUUCCGGAUAAAUUGUGGUAAGUUUACAUGUUUUAAUUUGCUGUACAUGUGUUCUUAAAUGGAAAAAAAAUAUGAACAAUCUAACUUGUUGUUUUCUAUGUAGAUGCUGCUAUUGCCACAUUUGAAAACCAGAGUAAAAUUAAAACUAAAAUUACAAUGUGAUGUUGCUAUUGCCACAUUCUAAAACCACAGAGGGUAACAUUAGGACUACGAUGUCAAUAUGUAGCCUUUGGGACUGUGUGACAAGGGGUGGCACUUUUGUGACUUCUGCUGUGCUUUAUUGUGAACUUCUGGAUCUGCCUACCGGGAGACUUCUGGCCAUGAAAACCAGCUGCUGGGUCUCUUCCACACCAGAGUCCGUUUGGAGAGACUGGAGGAGAUGCAGAUGAAGAGACAGGGCUGCGGAGCUGGUGCUGAGCACCGAGACGGACAAGCUUCACAGUGUCUUGGCUGAAUGAGCAGGUAUCGGACACCUCGGUCUCCUUAGACGCAUUCUCGCUCAUCCAUGCAGACUGGACACUGGCCGAGAGUUAGUGGGCGGCCGAGGGUGGAGUCGGCUCGCGUUUGCUUUGUUGGGUUUGCUCCUUUCUCUGGCCAUGCUCCCCCUACCCCAGCAGACGAUGGCUUGGAACACCGCAGAGGCCACCACAGUGUAUAUAUGUUUUUUUGUUUUUUAUGUGGUUUUACUUUUGUGGCUGUGUAGAAGUGGCUGGUUGCAUCAGCUCUGCUCUUUUAAUGUCUUUAAUGUCCUUUGUGUUCUUUGAUGUUUCCCUCUUACACACAUGUUUAAGUGUGCUAUGGCUAUGAUUUUUUUUCCCUUGGCGUCAGUCUGGACCCCCUCCCUCUAGGGGCCCAGGCUUGGACUGAUUUAUUUUUUCUCCCCAGCGUUUACUUGUUUCUUACCUUUUUUGUAAGGGGCACCGGAAGUUGGCAGACCCGUCAGCGAUCCUGUUCUGUCUCCCUGUAAUGUGUGUUUGCUCUUGAAUAGGAUUUUGCUGAAAAUCUUAAUUUCCCUUUGGGGAUUAUUAAAGUAUUUCUGAUUCUGAUUUGUUAAUCCACUGUAAAAUGUCAUGUACAUCUGUAACCAAACUUCUUUAUUGCAAGUUACUCAACAACUUAAGCAUUUUGGUGAUAAAGAUUGAGUUUGUAAAAUUCACUAUUAAUACACAUACAGUUGGGCCUUCAACAGUGCACUCAUGUUGUAAUGUAAGA